UCUUUCCUAGCACAACAGCUAUCUACCAACCAUCAAUCGUAACCACGGCUUAUUCAGAACACGAGAUAUAAAAAAAAAAACAUGUUUCGCUGCAGUUCCAAGUGAAGCCGUUAUGGGCCGAAGAUUCCCGUAAUUAUUUCCGUUUUUGUCACACGCCACCAACACAGCAAAAUCAUUCACCAUUCAGCAACAGUUCUUUAGUUAUCUUGAGUUGACACAAACAAUCACAGACAUACAUACACAGGUGAAAAUAUUACACCCAUGAAUAUUUCAAAGGGUAAUAAAGCUGCUUGUCACCAUGUAAACAACACGUAUCGUAGCAUGAACAUGAACAUACUAUUACCCAGUAUUUGUGUCUUAUCUAUUACCUGUAAUAUCUUUUCUGCAAGAAAUAGAAAGUUUCUGUAUUUCAGUUUAAUAAAAAAAAACUGCUUUGAUGGUGAACCCUUGUAGGUCUUUUACGUGAUCUAUGAGAAUUCUUACGUUUGAGCCCCGCGAGCACGCACUGACAUGUACGUGUAAGUAGUGCGUGCUCGGAGUCAUGUUUGAACCCCGUUUGAGCGUGCGUGCUCUGAGUCAUGUGACCUUCGUUUUGCUAACUAUAGACAAGCGUCCCGGGGCACUCUGUCCCAGUUCUCCCGCCUGAUACAAACAAAAUGCCGCUAGUCGAAGCAGUGUUUUUCCCGAGGAUGAUGUUGGUGCACGUAGCCGGGCCAGUAGUUUCGCCUCAAGGUAUCUGGAAGACGAGGAACCACCCCAGCUGCCCCAGGUCAGCAGCGGAGGGAUGUGAAACGCGGCCCGAAGAGGUCAUGGCUUCAUCAAACCACCGUGGUCUCCAGGGCUCCAUCGACUGCCUUGCUGAUGGGAGGACUUAACCGGUCAGUGUGAUACUGACCAUACAUACUGGACACGAGUGACAACGUCAAGGUGUUCCUGACACCCGUACCUGUGUCCACCAGGACGACGCAGUUCCGCCACAACGUGCACAGGGACUCUUACCACGACAGGGAAAGUCAGUGGAGUCCGUGCAAGUCAGUGAGACGAGCUGCAUCACUGAAGGAGCCGGAAUAGACGUCCGUGUGCCUUAUAAAGUCGGGAAGGAGCUACAAAUCACGCAGAACAGCACCGUCGACAGGAGGAAGAUAAUGAGAGGGGAGUGCCAGACCAGUAGCAGAUCUAGAAUAGCCAAUCGAUUGCGCUGCUACAACCAUAGUGAACCUAAAACUAGUUAGAGAAUUCACGGACUAGUUUUGAGGUGAUUUAUACCAUUACUGUGCGUUUUAGUGUACUGGGUAUACAUUGCAGUAGUAGUUGAUUGUGCAUGUGUAUCAAAGAACCGUACAUAAGGUUAACCUCAGCGACGACGGACCGAAUCAAACCGGAGAUGGAUGUAGUAAAGGAGAGAACCGCCAUAGGAAUGUUCAGUACAAUUAUUCUGUAUCCAACCUGUGACCGAAGUUAGCGGGGUCAGCAUUAUGUAGUAACAUCAAAACACUUAAACAGUCUCCCGUGCCAAGUGUACGGAAAACCUUG